rnacentral:lncRNA from 1 species
CAGCUUUAUUUGCCUUGUACAGCAUCAAUUUUCUUACAUUCUCAGUUAAUUGGCCAUUAAAGUGCUGGAAAUUUUCUUAAUCAUGAUAACAUUUGUUAAAAAGAAAUCAGAACUAAUAUCAGGAACAUGGCGGCAUGAAGGAAACAGUUCCCUUACAAAACACAGAAAAUGGAAGCCCCUCAUGUUGAGGGGGUGGGUUGGACAAUUUGCAAACAGAUUCUAAUUUCCUCUCACCGUCAGCACCAAACUGGCUGGGACCACCACCCCUGGGUGAAAGAAACAACACUAAAGAACCCUAAAAACACCCACACACCCUGACUACCACCACCUCUGGGCCAUCUGUGGGCGUUUGCUGUUUGAACAGAUCCAGUCUCAGGAAAGAGGAAGACCUGACCUCCGUCUGCAACCCAUCACCCCACCCACCCUUACUAACAAAAGCCCCCAAAGUCAUUACAAUGAAAAAGUGGGUUUCCAUUACCCCAAAACUAACAAUGUUCAGUAAAAAUGAGGAUAAUAAACACAAAAGCUUGCUUAGUAAACAGGAGCUCUCAGCAGUCAAUGCAAAAAAAUAUAUAUAUAUGAAAUCUUAAGGCAAAUACUGUUGACUUUGCACAUGGGCUGGACGAACUUGGAACUCUUUACCUAUCUGUAUAGUUCCAGGAGCCUACAGGCGGUCGGUUUUUCAGCGCUUGCCACCGGGCCAGGCAAGGUCUUUGCAUGAUUGCUGAGGCAGUCGGUGUGUUUCCCUUUGGAGUUUAUAUAGGAACACACCACCCAAGGCUGAUGUUUUGUUAUAUAUAUAUAUAUGUACACACAUACAAAGGCCUGCUACUCUUUCUUUGUGGAAACUGACAGCUCCACCUCGGGAAGCUGGAUGCCAACCUUAUUCCCACUGUCAUUGCUAGAAGAGGAGGACAGUCGGGACUUCUUAGAGGCCAGGGACACCCCACUCCCCUGUAACUUGCCUGUCUCAUCAUCGCUCCCAGUCACCUCAUAAUGACCUUUGCUCUUUGACCCCAAUCCACCAAAGGUACCGAAUUUCAGCUUCCCGUGUUUCCCUUUAACUUUCCCACCUUCCAGAGACACUUCCCCACCUUCAAACUCCAGCGUCCCCGUCGGGGUGGAAGGUCCAGAGAACUCUCUUUCAUCACUGAAUGAAUUUGAGCGGUGCCGUGGCUUCUUACUUUUAAAUAAGGAGAAUUUGCCUUUCGGUGAAGAGGCUUCGGCCUCUGCCUCUCCUUCCAGAGAGCCCAGGCUGGCCUUUGAACUUUUCAGGUCACCUUUGGACCCAGAAAUUGAUGCUUCUGGUGAGCCAGUGACACCACCUUUCCCUUUAGGUUUGGAAAAAUUAAACUUGGGCAUUUUGAUCUUGGACUUUUUCAGUUUGACUUCAGACUCUUCCCACUCGCCGUCUCCAGCACCAGCUUGGAUGCUGGCCUCUGCUUUAGGGAAGUGAACAUCCACCCCCAUUUCUCUGCCAACCAGCUCACGGCCAGAGAAGGUAAAUUUGGGGAUCUUCAUUUUAGGGAAUGUUACUUUUCCAGAUCCACUUUCCAAGUGACCUUGAGGCCCAGACACACUCAGCCCAGGAGCCUGGAGUCCAAUCUGACCUCCUUUCACACCUCCUUCCACCUUUGGUCCUGAGAAAUGAAGGCCCCCAGCAAACUUAGAUGUGUCCAAGUUGAGAGCAGAGGAGACUUGGGGUCCCUUCCACUCACCCCCGGAACCUUUAACACUCAAAUGCCCUUCACCAAGGCUGAUGUCUGGGGCACUGACACCCCCUGAAACAUCCGCACCUCCUUUGAUUUUUGGGCCCUUCAAGUUGAUGCCAAAAUCUGACUCAGGAGAUGCCAUAUUAAAGGCAGGCCCCUUCACACUGAUAUCAGGAGCAGCCCCAUGGAAACCUACUUCUGAACCUUUCAGACCACCUUUGAUUUCAGGCCCAGAAAUCUGCCCAGUUGGGAGUUUCACAUUCACGCCUGGCAGGUUCACAUCACAUCCAGAGGACUUAAUUCCAGGCAUCUGGAGGUUUCCUUCUAGGCCUUGAACACCAAUGCCUGGAAGACCUCCUCCGACAGUGGGGCCUUUGAUCUCACCAGUGGCCCCAAGGCUCCCUUUCACUUUUGGUCCUUCCAAGUUAAAGUCCACAUUCGGUGCUGAAAUCCGAGGCCCUUUCAGGUUCACAUCCACACCUGGCCCCUUCAGUUCGCCAGAAACCUGUGGCCCCUUGGCAUUGACGUGCAAGUCGGACCCCGGAGUAGAGAUGCCAAAUUGGGGCAGCUUCAUUUUGGGAAGUUUAAUGCUGCCUUCGGAUGCCUCCAAGCUUAGAUCAGGAGCUCCUACGGAUACUUUAGGGCAUUUGAUGUCACCAGAGACAGCCAGAUCUCCCUGCAGGCUUGGUCCCCUCAGUGUCACAUCUGGUGCCCCAACGUUAAGCUUUGUUGUGGCAUCGAUCCCUGGCACUUUCACACCGUCUCCUCCCACCUGCAUUUUGCCACCGACACCACUGAGGUUGAGCCCUGGAGCAUGCACCUUCAUGCUGGGAACAGAUGCAUCCAGGUCUCCCUUCAAACUUGGUCCUUUCAAGUUCAGAUCAAGGUCAGGCCCAGAGACUUUUGGCAUAGAGAGGUUCACUGAAGGCAAGUCUACUCCUGGCCCCUUUAGAGAAACAUCGGGCCCUUCGAGCUUAACAUCUGGUCCUCUCAAGUCUCCUUCAAGAGAGGGUAGCUGGGCAUGGACCUCGGCUCCCCCACCCUCCAUUUUCACACCUGGGAUGCCGAUCUUGGGCAUGGAAAACUUGGGGAACUUAAUUUUUGCUUCUGGACCUUGCAGAUCUACAUCUGGUCCUUCCAGUCCCACGCUGGGGACAUCACCCUUUAUCUUUGGUCCUUUCAAGUUUACAUUCACAUCAGGGAUGGAGACUUGAGGGGCAGAAAUGCCGAAGGACGGUGUUUUGACUUUAGCAUCUAGGCCUUCGAUGUUGAUGUCAGGUGCACCCAAGUUUGCCUGCACUUUGGGGCCUUUCAGGUCACCCUCUAUUUUUGGCACUGAGAUGUCCACAUCUGGCAUCUUGACCUUGGGAGCCUUCGCCUUGAUGUCAAGACCUUCGACGUGAAUCGCUGGCAAAGAAAGUUCCAGAUCAGGUGCCUGGAGUUCACCCUCCAGUUUGGGGCUAGGGAGAGGGGCCUCAGCUUUAAAUUUAGGUGAUUUAAUGUCAAACUCUACAUCUGGGAAGUACAUUUUUCCAAACAUCGUUUUCUUGGUUUUGGGCGAUUUCACGUCGACUUUGAGUGCAGCAUCCGGCCCUGCGAUGUUGACAUCUACAUCCGGAGCCUUGAGGCUGGCAUCAAUUUCACCCCCAGGAACAUUCAGGUCAAAUCCCUGUUUUUUGGCCUUAAUCUUAGGACCACUCAUAUGAAUUUUAGGCAUUUUAAACUUACUUUUCUUGCCCUUGCCACCAACACUAAUUUCAGGAGUCUCAAGGUUCAGCUCUGCCUCAGGAACAGUGACAUCCAGUGAAGGUGACUUGAUGUCAGCUUUGGGGCUUUUUGCCCCAAAUCCAAACUUGGGUUUCUUAAAUUUGGGGAUUUUAACAUCUGGCCCUUCGAUGUUAAUAUCUGGGCUGUCCAUGUGUACAUCUAAGCUUGGAGCUUCAACUUUGGGUCCCUUGAGGUCCACUUCACCACCUUCUAACUUCGGACCUGAAAAUCCAAUUUUUGGUGCCUUGAGAUGCAAAUCAACAUCAGGAGCAGUUACUUUAGGAGCAGAUAUCUCCAGCGAUGGCAUCUUCAAAGAUGGGCCACUGAGUUUGGCAUCAGGGCCUUCGAAAUCCAGACGUGGACCUUUAAGAUCUACUUCUGGGCCUUUCAAAGUCCCUUCAACCUUAGGGACAGACACAUCAAAAUCUCCUUUUACUUUGGGUCCUUUCAAAUCCAGGUCAACAUCAGGUAUGGAGAUCUUGGGAGCUUUGAUAUUUAUUUCAGGCAUCUUGAACUUGGGGCCCUUCAGUUUUGCGUCUGGACCUUCGAUAUUCACAUCUGGAAUAUCAACGUCCACCUUGGGUCCCGAGACAUCGAUGUCGGCCUUGGGCAGGCUCACAUCCACAUCUGGACCUUCUCCUUUGAAGCCAGGCAUGCUGAAUUUGGGCAUUUUCACCUUGGGCAUCUUCAGGUGCCAGUCUGGGCCAUGAACAUCCACAUCAGGGGUGUUGAUGUCCACUUUUGGGCCCUUGAUGUCAGCUUCUGGGCCCUUGAGGUCACCUUCCACUUUAGGAAGGGUAACAUCCACAUCGCCCUUCACUUUGGGUCCUUUCAGGUUUAAGUCAAUAUCAGGCAUGGAGAUCUUGGGGGCUUUGAUGCUCAUCUCAGGCAUCUUGAACUUGGGGCCCUUUAGUUUCGCAUCUGGACCUUCGAUAUUCACAUCAGGAACAUCAACGUCCACUUUGGGUCCUGAGACAUCAAUGUCAGCCUUGGGCAGGUUCACAUCCACAUCUGGGCCCUCUCCUUUGAAGCCAGGCAUGCUGAACUUGGGCAUUUUCACUUUGGGCAUUUUUAGGUGCCAGUCUGGGCCUUGAACGUCCACAUCUGGGACAUCAAUGUCCACUUUGGGGUCCCUGAUGUCAACUUCGGGGCCCUUGAGGUCGCCUUCCACUUUGGGCAGAGAAAUGUCCAUGUCGCCCUUCACCUUUGGACCUUUCAGAUUCAGGUCAACUUCAGGCAUAGAGAUCUUCGGUGCCUUGAGGUGUAAGUCAGGCAUUUUAAAUUUGGGGCCCUUCAGUUUCCCUUCUGGACCAUGAAUGUCAAUAUCAGGAGUGUCAAUGCCCACUUUAGGGCCUUUGACAUCCACUUUGGGACCUUUCAGAUCUCCCUCCAGUUUAGGAACGGAAAUGUCCAUAUCUCCUUUUAUCUUAGGUCCUUUCAAAUUCAAAUCAAUGUCACUCAUGGAGAUUUGUGGGCUUUUGAAAUGUACAUCAGGCAUCUUAAACUUGGGACCUUUGAGCUUCCCUUCAGGACCUUCAAUGUCUACCUCUGGCCCUUUCAGAUCACUUUCCACCUUAGGUAGUGAAACAUCCACAUCACCCUUCACCUUGGGACCUUUCAGGUGCAAAUCAAAGUCAGGCAUAGAGAUUUUGGGAGCUUUGAUGUUCAUCUCAGGCAUCUUAAAUUUGGGCCCCUUCAAUUUUCCUUCCGGACCUUCAAUAUUGACAUCAGGUGUGUCAAUGUCCAAACUGGGGCCUUUUAUGUCAAUUUCAGGGCCCUUGAGAUCACCUUCCACUUUGGGCAGAGAGACAUCCACAUCACCUUUCACUUUGGGACCCUUCAAGUUAAAGUCAAUGUCAGGCAUGGAGAUUUUGGGGGCCUUGAUGUUCAUCUCUGGCAUCUUGAACUUUGGACCCUUGAGUUUUGCAUCUGGACCUUCGAUACUGACAUCAGGGGCAUCAAUGUCCACUUUGGGGCCAGAAAUCUCAAUGUCAGCCUUAGGAAGGGUAACAUCCACAUCUGGGCCCUCUCCUUUGAAUCCUGGCAUGCUGAAUUUGGGCAUUUUCACCUUGGGCAUCUUCAGGUGCCAGUCUGGGCCAUGAACAUCUACAUCAGGGGCAUCGAUGUCCACUUUGGGGCCCUUGAUGUCAACUUCUGGGCCCUUGAGGUCACCUUCCACUUUAGGAAGGGAAACAUCCACAUCACCCUUCACCUUGGGACCUUUCAGAUGCAAAUCAAAGUCAGGCAUGGAGAUCUUGGGGGCUUUGAUGUUCAUCUCAGGCAUCUUGAAUUUAGGGCCCUUUAGUUUCGCAUCUGGACCUUCGAUAUUCACAUCAGGAACAUCAAUGUCCACCUUGGGUCCUGAGACGUCAAGGUCAGCCUUGGGCAGGUUCACAUCCACAUCUGGAACAUCAAUGUCCACCUUGGGUCCUGAGACAUCAAGGUCAGCCUUGGGCAGGUUCACAUCCACAUCUGGGCCCUCUCCUUUGAAGCCAGGCAUGCUGAAUUUGGGCAUUUUCACUUUGGGCAUUUUUAGGUGCCAGUCUGGGCCUUGAACGCCCACAUCCGGGACAUCAAUGUCCACUUGGGGACCCCUGAUGUCAACUUCAGGGCCCUUGAGGUCACCUUCCACUUUGGGCAGAGAAAUAUCCACAUCGCCCUUCACCUUGGGACCUUUCAGAUGCAAAUCAAAGUCAGGCAUGGGGAUCUUGGGGGCUUUGAUAUUCAUCUCUGGCAUCUUGAACUUGGGCCCUUUCAACUUUCCCUCUGGUCCUUCAAUGUUAACAUCAGGGCCUUCAACGUCCACUUUGGGGCCUGAGACAUCAACGUCAGCCUUGGGCAGGUUCACAUCCACUUCAGGGCCCUCUGCUUUGAAGCCAGGCAUGCUGAACUUGGGCAUUUUCAUCUUGGGCAUCUUCAGGUGCCAGUCUGGACCCUGAACAUUAACAUCUGGGACAUCAAUGUCCACUUUGGGGCCUUUGAGGUCAACUUCAGGACCUUUCAGAUCUCCCUCUACCUUAGGGCCUGUAACAUCCACAUCUCCUUUUAUUUUUGGACCUGUGAGAUUCAGGUCAAUAUCUGGCAUGGAUAUCUUUGGAGUCUUAAAAUGCAUCUCUGGCAUCUUAAACUUUGGACUUUUCCACUUUCCUUCAGGUCCUUCGAUAUUCACAUCGGGACAUUCAACAUCCACUUUCGGUCCUGAGACAUCAAUGUCAGCCUUGGGCAGGUUCACGUCCACAUCUGGACCUUCUCCUUUGAAGCCAGGCAUGCUGAUCUUGGGCAUUUUUAUCUUGGGCAUCUUUAGGUGCCAGUCUGGGCCAUGAACAUCAACAUCAGGUGCGUCAAUGUCCACUUUUGGGCCCUUGAUGUCAACUUCUGGGCCCUUGAGGUCACCUUCCACUUUAGGAAGGGAAACAUCCACAUCACCCUUCACUUUGGGUCCUUUCAGGUUUAAGUCAAUAUCAGGCAUGGAGAUCUUGGGGGCUUUGAUAUUCAUCUCUGGCAUCUUGAACUUAGGCCCUUUCAACUUUCCCUCUGGUCCUUCAAUGUUAACAUCAGGGCCUUCAAUGUCCACUUUGGGUCCUGAGACAUCAAUGUCAGCCUUGGGCAGCUUCACAUCCCCAUCUGGGCCCUCUCCUUUGAAGCCAGGCAUGCUGAACUUUGGCAUUUUCACCUUGGGCAUCUUCAGGUGCCAGUCUGGGCCUUGAACACCCACAUCUGGGGCAUUAAUAUCCACUUUGGGCCCCUUGAUGUCAACUUCGGGGCCCUUGAGGUCACCUUCCACUUUGGGCAGAGAAACAUCCACAUCGCCCUUCACCUUGGGACCUUUCAGAUGCAAAUCAAAGUCAGGCAUGGAGAUCUUGGGGGCUUUGAUGUUCAUCUCUGGCAUCUUUAACUUAGGCCCUUUCAACUUUCCCUCUGGUCCUUCAAUAUUAACAUCAGGGCCUUCAAUGUCCACCUUGGGUCCUGAGAUGUCAACGUCAGCCUUAGGCAAGUUGACGUCUACUUCAGGGCCCUCUGCUUUGAAGCCAGGCAUGCUGAACUUGGGCAUUUUCAUCUUGGGCAUCUUCAGGUGCCAGUCUGGAGCUUGGACAUCGGGGGCAUUUACAUCAACUUUGGGGCCCCUGAUGUUCAUAUCUGGUACUUCAAGUUUACCUUCUACCUCAGGCACAGACACAUCCACAUCCCCCUUGAUUUUGGGUCCUUUGAGAUUUAGAUCAACAUCAGGCAUAGAAAUAUUGGGGGCUUUGAAAUGCAUAUCAGGCAUCUUGAACUUAGGGCCUUUCAAUUUGCCCUCUGGUCCCUCAAUGUCAAUGUCUGGCCCACUGACAUCCACAUGUGGCCCUUUAAGGUCCCCUUCCAAUUUGGGAACAUCUACAUCCACCUCUCCUUUUGCCUUGGGGCUCUUCAAGUGUAGAUCGAGGUCUGGCAUAGAGAUUUUGGGAGCUUUAAAGUGCAUAUCUGGCAUCUUGAACUUAGGAGUUUUCCACUUGCCAUUUGGGCCUUCCACAGCUACUUCUGGCAUGUCAGCAUCUAAUUUGGGACCUUUGACAUCCAAUUCUGGACCUUUUAACUCUCCCUCCAGCUUUGGGGCAGAAACAUCAACAUCUCCUUUGAUUUUGGGUCCCUUUAAAUUGAAAUCAACAUCAGGCAUGGAGAUCUUGGGGGUCUUGAAGUGCAUCUCAGGCAUCUUAAACUUGGGGCCCUUCAGCUUCCCUUCUGGACCUUCAAGGCUCACAUCUGGGACUUCAACAUCCACCUUGGGUCCUGAGACAUCAACGUCAGCCUUGGGCAAGUUCACAUCCACUUCUGGGCCCUCUCCUUUGAAGCCAGGCAUGCUGAACUUGGGCAUUUUCAUCUUAGGCAUCUUCAGGUGCCAGUCUGGGCCAUGAACAUCCACAUCUGGGGCAUCAAUGUCCACUUUGGGCCCUCUGAUGUCAACAUCUGGCACUUUCAUUUCACCUUCUACCUUGGGAACAGACACAUCCAUAUCCCCUUUGACUUUGGGGCCUUUCAAGUUUAAGUUCACAUCAGGCAUGGAGAUCUUGGGGGUCUUGAAGUGCAUCUCAGGCAUCUUAAACUUGGGCCCUUUCAACUUUGCAUCAGGACACUCCAGCUCAACAUCAGGCACCUCCACAUCCACACUGGGGCCUGUUAAAUCUCCCUCCAAUUUUGGCAAAGACACAUCCACAUCCCCUUUGACUUUGGGGCCUUUCAAGUGUAAGUCCACAUCAGGCAUGGAGAUCUUGGGGGCCUUGAAGUGCAUCUCAGGCAUCUUAAGCUUGGGGCCCUUCAGCUUCCCUUCUGGACCUUCAAGGCUCACAUCUGGGACUUCAACAUCCACCUUGGGUCCUGAGACAACAACAUCAGCCUUGGGCAAGUUCACAUCCACUUCUGGGCCCUCUGCUUUGAAGCCAGGCAUGCUGAACUUGGGCAUUUUCAUCUUGGGCAUCUUCAGGUGCCAGUCUGGGCCAUGAACAUCCACAUCUGGGGCAUCAAUGUCCAUUUUGGGUCCUUUGAUGUCAACAUCUGGCACUUUCAUUUCACCUUCUACCUUGGGCACAGACACAUCCAUAUCCCCUUUGACUUUGGGGCCUUUCAGGUGUAAGUCCACAUCAGGCAUGGAGAUCUUGGGGGUCUUGAAGUGCAUCUCAGGCAUCUUAAACUUGGGCCCUUUCAACUUUGCAUCAGGACACUCCAGCUCAACAUCAGGCACCUCCACACCCACACUGGGACCUGUUAAAUCUCCCUCCAAUUUUGGCACCGACACAUCCACAUCCCCUUUGACUUUGGGGCCUUUCAAGUGUAAGUCCACAUCAGGCAUGGAGAUCUUGGGGGCCUUGAAGUGCAUGUCUGGCAUCUUAAAUUUAGGGCCUUUCAACUUUGCAUCAGGACACUCCAGCUCAACAUCAGGCACCUCCACACCCACACUGGGGCCUGUUAAAUCUCCCUCCAAUUUUGGCACCGACACAUCCGCAUCCCCUUUGACUUUGGGGCCUUUCAGGUGUAAGUCCACAUCAGGCAUGGAGAUCUUGGGGGCCUUGAAGUGCAUCUCAGGCAUCUUAAACUUGGGCCCUUUCAACUUUGCAUCAGGACACUCCAGAUCAACAUCGGGCACCUCCGCUUCCACAAAAGGACCUUUGACAUCAACUUGCGGCCCUCUGAGAUCACCUUCCAGUUCUGGCACAGAAGCAUCUAUCUCUCCCUUCAGUUUGGGUCCCUUCAAAUUCAAGUCCACAUCUGGCAUGGAGACCUUGGGAGCUUUUAUAUUCAACUUGGGCAUCUUAAAUUUGGAGCCUUUCAACUUUCCUUCUGGUCCCUCAAUAUCCAAAUCAGGAGCAUCAGUGUCCACACUGGGUCCAGACACAUCAAUGUCAGCCUUUGGCAGAUUCACAUCCACUUCAGGGCCCUCUGCUUUGAAGCCAGGCAUACUGAACUUGGGCAUUUUCAUCUUGGGCAUUUUCAGGUGCCAAUCUGGGUCGUGAACCUCCACAUCUGGGGCAUCAAUGUCCACUUUGGGCCCUUUAAUGUCAACAUCUGGCACUUUCAUUUCACCUUCUACCUUGGGCACAGACACAUCCAUAUCCCCUUUGACUUUGGGGCCUUUCAAGUGUAAGUCCACAUCGGGCAUGGAGAUCUUGGGGGCCUUGAAAUGCAUCUCAGGCAUCUUAAACUUGGGGCCCUUCAACUUCCCUUCUGGACCUUCAAUAUCAAUAUCACCAACAUUCACAUCCAUCUUAGGGGCUUUCACAUCAAUUUCAGGACCCUUCAAGUCUCCUUCCACUUUGGGAAGGGAAACAUCUACAUCAGUUUUCAGUUUAGGGGCUUUCAAAUUAAGUCCAACAUCAGGCAUAGAGAUUUUGUGCGUCUGUAUAUUCAUGCUUGGCAUCUUGAACUUAGGGCCUUUUAGUUUCCCCUCUGGAGCUUCAAGAUUCACAUCUGGAACAUCAAUGUCCACCUUGGGUCCUGAAACACCAAGGUCAGCCUUGGGCAGGUUCAUAUCCACCUCUGGGCCCUCUCCUUUAAAGCCAGGCAUGCUGAACUUGGGCAUUUUUACCUUGGGCAUCUUCAGGUGCCAGUCUGGGCCAUGAACCUCCACAUCUGGUGCAUUAAUAUCAACUUUGGGGCCUUUGAUGUCAACAUCAGGAGCUUUUAUCUCUCCUUCUACUUUUGGAACUGUUACAUCAUAAUCUCCUUUCAUUUUAGGACCUUUCAAAUGCAAACCAACAUCUGGUAUGGAUAUCUUCUGAGGCUUUAUACUCAUUUCUGGCAUCUUGAAUUUGGGACCUUUUAGUUUUGCGUCUGGACCUUCAAUAUUCACAUCUGGAACUUCAGCAUCCAUUUUGGGUCCUGAGACAUCAACGUCAGCUUUGGGCAGCUUCACAUCCACUUCAGGGCCCUCUCCUUUGAAGCCGGGCAUGCUGAACUUGGGCAUUUUCACCUUGGGCAUCUUCAGGUGCCAAUCUGGGCCAUGAACAUCCACAUCUGGAGCACUAAUGUCAACUUUGGGCCCUUUAAUGUCAACAUCUGGCACUUUCAUUUCACCUUCUACCUCAGGCAAGGACACAUCCACAUCUCCCUUCAAUUUUGGCCCCUUAAGAUUCAGGUCCACAUCAGGCAUGGAGAUCUUGGGGGCCUUGAAGUGCAUCUCAGGCAUCUUAAACUUGGGGCCCUUCAGCUUUCCUUCCGGGCCCUCAAGGCUCACAUCUGGGACUUCAACAUCCACCUUGGGUCCUGAGACAUCAAUGUCAGCCUUGGGCAGGUUCACAUCCACUUCUCGGCCCUCUCCUUUGAAGCCAGGCAUGCUAAACUUGGGCAUUUUCAUCUUGGGCAUCUUCAGGUGCCAGUCUGGGCCUUGAACCUCCACAUCUGGGGCAUCAAUGUCCAUUUUGGGUCCUUUGAUUUCAACAUCUGGCACUUUCAUUUCACCUUCUACCUUGGGCACAGACACAUCCACAUCCCCUUUGACUUUGGGGCCUUUCAAGUGUAAGUCCACAUCAGGCAUGGAGAUCUUGGGGGUCUUGAAAUGCAUCUCAGGCAUCUUAAACUUGGGACCCUUCAGCUUCCCUUCUGGACCUUCGAGGCUCACAUCUGGGGCUUCGAUGUCCACCUUGGGUCCUGAGACAACAACGUCAGCCUUAGGCAAGUUCACAUCCACUUCUGGGCCCUCGCCUUUGAGGCUGGGCAUGCUGAACUUGGGCAUUUUCAUCUUGGGUAUUUUCAGGCUCCAGUCCAGGCCUUGGCCUUCCACAUCUGGUGCUUUAAUAUCUACCUUGGGACCUCUGAUGUCCACAUCUGGAACCUGCAUUUCAC